rnacentral:rRNA from 1 species
AACGAACGCUGGCGGCAGGCCUAACACAUGCAAGUCGAGCGCGCCUUCGGGUGAGCGGCGGACGGGUGAGUAACGCGUGGGGAUAUGCCCUUCUCUACGGAAUAGUCCUGUGAUACUGGGGGUAAUACCGUAUACGCCCUAUGCUGGAAAGGUUUAUCGGGUAAGGGUUAGAGCGCGUGGGAUUAGGUAGUUGGGCGGGUAAUGGCCUAUCAAUCGGACGAGCCAUAGCUGGGUAGAGAGGAUGAUCAGCGACACUGGGACUGAGACACGGGCCAGACUACUACGGGAGGCAGCAGAGGGGGAUCUUAGACAAUGGGGGCAACCCUGAUCUAGCCAGGCCGCGUGAGUGAUGAAGGCCUUAGGGAAGUAAAGCUCUUUCAGCUGGGAAGAUAAUGACGGUACCAGCAGAAGAAGCCCCGGCUAACUCCGUG